UAAUUAUUGUUAUAUACACGUCAUGUUGUCGAGGUCUAAAAUGAAGUUCCUUUAUUCUUUAGUGAAAUUCGUUGUGUUUCUUCAGGUUUUUCUGCAAAAUGUAGCGUGGACUAGACCGGCUUUUAGUAAUUAUUAUGUACCAGGAUUUUCAAUGGCACUUUUAGGGCCCGAUGCUCUUUUACAAAUAAAGAUGAGUAUGCCGGAUAUACCUAAUCAAUAAGUUUUAUUCAAGAUUACUUCACGAGCCCAUUUUGGCAUCUCUGAAUAUUUGGAAUAUAGCGUGUUCAAUGGAUAUAAGUAAUUUCACCCUUAGCAGCGAAACUGUGGAUUGAAAAUUACUACAAAAAUAAAUUACCAUGGCUUUUAUUUUGAA